UCUACGGCCACUGGGCAUGCACACAUCAAUAUUGCGUAAUUUUUGUCACACUGAACAACAAUAAUGACUGUAUUUGCAUUAUUGCAAUCGGGAAUCAUUUGAUUUAGAUCGGAACUUCGGAGCGGAAUAACAAGGCCAAAGCCGCGUUCACCUCCAAAAACGAGGAAGCACCAGCAGGCCAUUUCACAGCCAGAAGCUACUGGAGGUCCGGAGAUCUUGUGUGCCGGAGCAGAUGCAGACUCUUACUGCGCGAACGGGAAAUCAACAACAAGCACUUACUCAAAAAUAUGAAGGAAAUCUGCCUGGCAAAACUACAUCUAUCUCGCCAGUUCAUCAGCGCAGGAUUGAGCCCAUUUCCUUCCAUCUUGCGCCAGGUCAAUUAAAUCCGGCAUGGGCCGCCGUUUGUGCUCAAAUCAUUUGAGACUUCCAGCCCGGCUUACGAGAGGAAGGCUUGACGCCGCACCUGAGAGCGACGCACACCUGGGAUCGGGGAAAACUGAGGGCCGAUGUUUGUGAGAGACGUCUCCAGUCGACGCUUCAAGAAUUCCUCAAGUCAGAGCGAAAAGCCCCUGCUGAGCCUCAAAUGCCUGAACAUCCGACUCAAAAUCAAACCUACAAUCUAGUUCAUA